GCUGACACGUCCCGGCCAAUCUCCAGCAGACCCUCCCUCCCAGACCCUCCUACUUCCUGGACAGCAUCCAUGUUGAAACAUGGAUGCUGUCCAGGAAAUAGGAGGGUCUGGGAGGGAGGGUCUGCUGGAGAUUGGCCAGGACCUGUGCU